AGGCUGGGACGAGAGCCCGCUUGGAAAGCAGCGUAUGGGGGAACAAAUCCAUGACAUGGUCAGAAGAGGUGCGGCUGUCAAGCUAUCAGAAGAAGAGAUGGAUUCCUGGAAGGGCCCAAAGUGGUACAUUAGCCAAUUGGUCUCCCCGAACCCCCACUCUGCUUCCACCCCUGUGAGAAUAGUGUGGAAUAGCAGCCAAGAGUUUCAGGGUUGGAGCCUGAAUGACCUUCUCCACAAAGGGCCAGAUGUACUUAAUCCAAUAAAAGGAGUUCUCUUACGGUUCCGAAGUGGGCAACAUGCUGCCCUGGGCGAUGUACGAAAGAUGUACAACUCAGUUUGGCUCAAGGAUGAAGAGGUCCACCUGCAUCGAUUCCUGUGGAGGGAUGACCCCCUGAACGAAAUAGAGACGUUUGCAGUUGUCCGAGUGAACAUUGGCGAUAAGCCAGCAGGAUGUAUUGCCCAAGUUGCAAUGCGAGAGACUGCUAAACUGCCACAGUUCUCGUCAAUGCUCAAAGAACGUAGAGUUUUAGAAGAAGACUGCUACGUCGAUGACAUCCUGACGUCGGACAAUGAUCUUGAUGCUCUACGAGAGACAACUGUUGGUGUGGAGAAGAUCUUGGAGGCAGGAGGGUUCUCUCUAAAACCCUGGGUCUUCUCUGGCCAAAGUGGGAGGGGGAAAACCCAGAGCAGUCCCCAGCUUGGCUGUCCGAGCACGCCGAACAUCCUCAUCCUCCCAAAUCAGAUGCAAGAGGAGGACAGCAAAGCCCUCGGGGUUGGGUACGAGCCCGAGUCUGACAAGCUCUGCAUCCUCGCUACAAUCAACUUGUCAAAGAAGAGGGGGAAGAUGAGGAUUGGGCUUGACUUAAAAGAGGACGCUUGGAAGUGGGUUGAAGGAGACCUAAACAUUGCCGAUAUCCUUACGAGGGCAGCGACUCCUGAGGAGUUGAACGAGGACUCGGAGUGGCAGAACGGGCCUGAGUUCCUCAAGUGGCCUGAAAGCAAGUGGCCGGUGAAGAUUGCAAGUGAAAUCGCUGCCACGGUCGCCAAAGAGAGCAUCAAGAAGCUUCAAAGACGCGUAUUCUCUGCCGUGGUCACAAGGCGACAGAAAAAUGAGAGCGACAGCAGAAUGAAGCCUCCUGAGCCUGGCGGCCCCGGGACCACUCCACCUCUGUCUAUCCCACGGGUGCGGGCCGUGGCCCUUGUGCGCCUCGUUGAGCCUGGGAGGUUUAGCUCCCUCGCCAGGCUGUGCGGGACUGUUGCCUGGACUCGGCGGGCAGUGGAGGCCUGGUUAGGUGGCAGCCACCAGGCCACUGCCAAUGGAAAUGCAAAGCCUGGUCUUACAGCUGUUGAGAGGGCAGAGGCCUUCCAUUACCUUGCCCUUGAAGCCCAGGACGGAGUUGAGUUCCGGGAUGAAACUCUGGACCGACUCGUGGUCCGGAAAGAAGAGGUCACGGGGCUCCUACUCUGCGGAGGACGAAUUCAGUCCAGGAAUGAAGGCAAGACUGCUAUUCCUCUGGUCCCUAUGCAGUCAAAAUUGGCUACAUUACUAGCCCAAGAGGCUCAUGAUAAGAACCAUGAGGGGAUUGCAGCAACUCUCCUAGGUACUCGGAGAAAAGCCUGGAUCAUACAGGACCGUCGAGCAGUCAGAAGAGUCAUUUUGUAGUUCUUUUGUGUAGUACUGCUCAUAUGUGUAAUGUGUGCCUCAAACAGAGCGCCGGUGUUUUAUGUCUUUUUAGUAUGUUUGUCCAUGACAUUAUGGUGACAUUAUAAAUAAUUCUGAUUACAUUUAAAACAUUAUAUGACAUAAAUUAAUGGUGAUAAUAAAAUGUAAUGCUAAAAUUAAUAAGUUAGGAUAAAAUCACAGUGAUUGAUAAUAUGUCAUAUCAUGGUUGACAACAUUAUGGUUCAGUUGAUGAAUUCAUGUCUAUUAUUUACAUUAUGAUGAUUCAAGGUAGAUACAUUGUUUUGUUAUGUUCAUGUUUUGAUAAUUCAAGAUAGAUACAUUGUUUUAUGUUCAUGUUUUCUUUUAGGUUAUUACCUGCUACUGCUACUGCUGCUACUGCUACUGCUACUGCUGCUACUACUGCUACUGCUGCUACUGCUACUACUGCUGCUGCUGCUACUACUGCUGCUGCUACUAAAUAAAACAAGCAAAGAAUGCAAAGCGAGUAAUUCCUUUCAUGCUGAGUGACGAUCCCUAUUCAGAGGGCCAAUACGGAAAAAACUGAACAGUAUAAGUAACGACAAAUGAAGAUAGAGUACUAUUAGCCGCAACAUAUAAGUGUAAAAAAACAACAACAUUAUGAUUUAUACAUUUUCAGAAUGUGCUUGUUCUAUUUUUAAACAAAAAAAACAUUCAAGAUUGUCUUUAUUUUUAAGUUAUUGUGCCAUGAUUUUACCAGUCCGGCCCACUUGGGAAUAGAUUUUCCUCCAUGCGGCCCCUGUGCUAAAACGAUUUUGACACCUUUGACCUAAAUAAAUGAGAACAUCCAUACAUAUGGAGAAAAUCCACGCUGAUUGGUUGGUGUUCGUAUAACUAUUACCAACUGUUUCCAAACAACACACAAGUCAUUGUUUUUUGUCAAGCUAUAAAUAGAUGCUGUUUUUUUUUAUUGUAGGUAGAGAGAAUAAAUAACAUUAUAGGGGUGGGCCAAAGAAAAGGCAAACUAAAUAAAUACAUACAGUGGGGUGUGGGGACCCCUAGAAGUAGUUUUAGGGUGUCCCCAGCUAAAUGUCCAGUUGUACACUCUCAGUUACAUUAACAUUGAUUAUAUACACGUGGGCACAUAUAUUUAAAUGCUGUUAAAUGUAGCUUGUAGUGUAGCUUGUCACAAUUCUCUGGAGAUAGCUUCACCUGUAGCUUAGCGACAUUUAAUCAAGAGUAACUUGUAGCUUAGCUUACUACUUUUUUCCAAGUAGCUUGCCCAUCACUGCAAUACUGAUAUGCUGCUGAAUAAAAAAAUAAAGUGUUAAUUGGAUUAUACUUGUAUAUCGCUUUUCUACCUUCAAAGUACUCAAAGCGCUUUGACACUAUUUCCACAUUCACACUGAUGGCAGGAGCUACCAUGCAAGGCUCUAACCACGACCCAUCAGGAGCAAGGGUGAAGUGUGUUGCUCAAGGACACAACGGAGGUGACUAGUAUGACGAAAGCUGAGGAUCGAACCUGCUGGCACGGCCGCUCUACCAACCGAGCAACGCCGUCCCCAACCAAAAUAAGCUGUUGAAGUAAAUAGCAUUUUUAGCUCACUAACUGUUGAAAAUGCAAAACAAACUAAAGAAGAAGAAAUUGUGCACAAAUGGAAUAAAAUAUAAAAUCAAUGACUGGAGCAGCAGGAAACAGUCUCCCUAAAAAGGCUAAACGAGCCAAAAACAAAUGGAUAACAGCAUAGAUUCAAAGUCAAAUGGAAGAGCCCAGCCUGCUAAGAAGUCCUGCACUGACCAGCUGGCAGGGGCGUUCAUCAGCAUCCCUUCAGACCUAGAUGAACACCAGUUUGCUUACUUGUCAAACAGAUCUACAAAGGAUGAUUUCUCCACUGCCCUUCACACAGCCCUGGCCCACCUGGAGCAGCCAAAAACAUAGAUCAGGAUACUCUUUGUAGACUUCAGCAGUGCAUUCAACAAUGUGAUUCACAUAAACUGGUCGACAAACUCUCCAACCUUGGAGUCACCAUCACACUUUGUACAUGCAUUAUAGACUUCUUGACCAACAGGCCUCAGAAGGUCAGGAUAGGGACCAUUAUAUCCGACACCAUAAUCCUGAGAACAGGCACACUGCAGGGCUGUGUGCUUAGUCCAGUCCUCUUCACACUGUUCAUCCAGGACCGUGCCCCCAUUCACUCCUCCAACACCAUAAUGACAUUUGCAGAUGGCACUACGAUAGUUGGCCUCAUUGCUGACAACAAUAAAACCUGUUACAAGCAGUAGGUCCAUCACCUGGGGAAGUGGUGCUCAGCAAACGACCUGGUUUUUAAUACCACCAAAACAGAAGAGGUCAUCAUAGACUUCAGGAGGACCAGUAGAACGACACAACCCCCACUCCACAUCAGAGGUGAGGCGAUGGAGUAGGUGAACUCGGUCAGAUUCCUUGGCACUCACAUCUCCAAGGAUCUGACAUGGGUACUAAACAUUUCCAAACUGGUGAAAAAAGCCCAGCAGAGGAUGUUCUUCCUGGAAAGGCGAGUCUGACUCCUCGACUGCUCAGACAAUUCUACAAGAGCACUUCAUUUUGCGAGGGGUGUACACUGUGGUACAGCAGCUCCACAGCAGGUGGUGAAGGCGGCGCAGAGGAUUGUUGGAGCUGAGCUACCAGAUGAACAUACGAUGAGCGUAUGCAGAGAAGAGCGAGAGGCAUCUGCAUGAACAGCAGCCACUCUGGACACUCACUGUUUGUACCAGUGCCAUCAGGAAAUAGGUCACCUGCACUUCUCUACCUGAUAUCAUCAAGCACUUUAUAGACACCUCAGAAGGUGCUCUGAAGCCUCUACCCAGGGAGAAACUCUAUCAGAAGAAACUCUCUUUCGUUGCCUUUGAUCGUGAAAGUGGAGAG